UUGCACGCAUUUGGAAGCCAAACAAAUUCUCUCUAUCUCUCUCUUUUCAUCCACAAGCCGCAAGGAUUUACUUGGCGAUGAUAGAUUCUAAAGAUUCACACAGGAUAUGACGAGAACACUGAUGUCUAUAUGAUGAUUGAAAAGUUUCCUAGGGCUUUCUUUCUACAACAACGACGACGACAAACUUUAGGCGAAGGGAUGGGAUCUGAAGAGCUCCGUUUACUGCGGACAACAAAUCCGUUUAGAAGAUUUUGCCAAAGGCUUAUCAAUGGCCUCUUGGGAAAUUCCCAUCACAUCAUCAAUUUUCUACCUUUUUGAAGCAAGAGAAUAAAAAAAGAAAGAGCAAGAGCAUCAAAGCGUCAACAACGCGCGAGACAUAUUAGCAAUUUUAAGUCUAACCGUUUUUGUUACUUCAAUAAAGUAAGAAUACAAAAACAACCCCAUCGAUUUGUUGCUUUGUGCGCUACGCUCUAAUGUGCUACUGGUGGUGGGUGAUGUUGAUGUUGAUGAGGGCAAAUGUGCCCAUCCGGUCUGCGAAGAGGAAGUUCCUACAUCAGUCAAUUCGCUAAGGCUAAUAUUGUUAGUAAAAUAAUAGCUUCCUUUUGUGCAUAACAGUUUACCAUCCUAUGAAUGGAAAUUCAGAAGUCCGGGUGGGUUUCAUGGGGUGAACAUUUUAUUCAGCAACAACGUAAAACAAUAAUUAUUAUAAUAACGACACAUUCGAGAGAUGAGCAACAAAAGAUAAAGGCUUUUAUGUCAUUGUUAGUGCACCAGGGCGAUGCUAUCAUGUGGUUGAGGAACAUACGUUUUUGAGCCACAAACAUUUGUUUUUUAAGAUAACAGAUCUAUGCAUGAAAAAAUAUAUGUAUUUGUAUAUGUUUGUUUUUAUUUCUAUGGACAUUUUGUAAACAUUUUUAACAAGCAACAAAGGAAAAUCUAUUUUUAAAAAUAA